rnacentral:rRNA from 1 species
ACGGCCCUACGGGCGCAGCAGUAGGGAAUUUUCGUCAAUGGGCGCAAGCCUGAACGAGCGAUGCCGCGUGAGUGAAGAAGGCCUUCGGGUCGUAAAGCUCUGUUGCGGGGGAAAAAAGGCAGCAUCAGGAAAUGGGUGCUGACUGAUGGUGCCCCGCCAGAAAGUCACGGCUAACUACGUGCCAGCAACCGCGGUAAUACGUAGGUGGCGAGCGUUAUCCGGAAUGAUUGGGCGUAAAGGGUGCGCAGGCAGUCCUGCAAGUCUGGAGUGAAACGCAUGAGUUCAACUCAUGCAUGGCUUUGGAA